UACGUAGGGCGCAAGCGUUUAUCCGGAAUUAUUGGGCGUAAAGAGCUCGUAGGCGGUUUGUCGCGUCUGCCGUGAAAGUCGGGGGCUCAACCCUCGAAUGCCGGUGGAUACUGUCGGGCUAGAGUGCGGAAGAGGCGAGUGGAAUUCCCGGUGUAGCGGUGAAAUGCGUAGAGAUCGGGAGGAACACCCGUGGCGAAGGCGGCCAUCUGGACCAGCACUGACGCUGAGGCACGAAAGCGUGGGGAGCAAACAGG
rnacentral:rRNA from 1 species